UAACCUAACCUAAUCUGGAUGAACCCAAAUUUUAGUUUGUAACGAAGAACGACCGAUUGUUGGAACAGCUGAUCUUGAGCAGCUAGUACAAGCCUCCCUUGCACUUCACCUGACGCUGAUGCUCACAGAGCCCAUGAUGGCAGAGCCAUGAGCAGGAACUGAUGUGGGACAGCAGCAUGGAAAGGAAACUCCAGGAGAACAGGAAAGGUUCCACCCACAGAGAAGUCCCCCGGGUCCUUGGGCUGCUGCUCGCCAUGGCCAUCAUGAAUGUGUUCCUUUACCUCUGCCUCAACCAGCUUUUCAUUUCCCCUCGCCGAUCCACCGAAGAUCCCAGGCACUGUCCUCACGGUUACUUCAGAA